GUCCACGCUGUAAACGAUGAGUGCUAGACGGUGGAGGUAUUGACCCCUUCGCUGUCGCAGCUAACGCGUUAAGCACUCCGCCUGGGGAGUACGGUCGCAAGACUAAAACUCAAAGGAAUUGACGGGGGCCCCGCACAAGCGGUGGAGCAUGUGGUUUAAUUCGACGCAACGCGCAAAACCUUACCUGGGUUAAAUCCGCCGGAAGCUGGCUGAAAGGCUGGUGUGCCCUUCGGGGAAUCGGUGAAAAGGUGCUGCAUGGCUGUCGU
rnacentral:rRNA from 1 species